AUGCGGCCUCUCCUCAGCGCCGCCGCCGCCGCCCUCCUCCUCCUCCUCCUCCCCCUCGCGGCCGGCCAGCGACUCCGCGGCUUCUCCUACCAACUCGACUGCGGCGCCGCGAGCUCCUCCACCGACAGCCGCGGCCUCCGCUGGGACCCCGACGGCCCCUACGUCUCCGCCGGCUCCGCCCGCCCGCUCUCGGCCCAGGGCCUCCUCGACCCCACCCUCGCCUCCCUCCGCGUAUUCCCGUACCGCCCCGCCGCUAAGUUCUGCUACGCGCUCCCCGUCGACCCCAAUCGCCACUACCUGCUCCGCCCCACCUUCUUCUACGGCCCCACCUCGACGGCCCCGCCCGUGUUCGACCUCAUCGUCGACGGCACCUUCUGGACCGCCGUCGACACCGCCGAUGACAUCCUGGCCGGCAGCGCCUCGCACUACGAGGCCGUGUUCCCGGCCAGGGGCAGGAACUUGACCUUCUGCAUCGGCGUCAACCCCGACUACACCAACUCCGGCCCGUUCAUCAACGCGCUGCAGGUCAUCCAGCUCCAUGAUUCGGUGUACAACGCCACCGAUUUCACGGGCAGCGCCAUGGGCCUCAUUGCGCGCACCAAGUUUGGCUCGACUGGCGACGUCGAGAGGUACCCUGAUGACAGUUUUGACCGCUAUUGGCAGCCAUUUCCAGACAGCAAACAUGCAGUCAGUAGUACCCACAACGUUACAUCAGCCGAUUUCUGGAAUCUUCCUCCUCCUGACGUAUUUAAUACAGCUUUGGUAGCAGAACAAAAUGCACCCUUGGUGUUGCAAUGGCCGCCGAUAUCUCUUCAGAAUGGCAGCUAUUAUGUUUCUCUUUAUUUUGCUGAUACAUUGGCUAAUAGUUCGAGGACCUUGGAUGUGAAUAUUAAUGAUUACCAGUUUUACCAAGGGACUGUAACAUCAGCUGGUCUUUCUGUCUUUGCAACUCAAUGGAUUCUCUCAGGCCUAACCAGAGUUAUAUUGACUUCUAAGUCUGUUCUUCCACCACUUAUCAAUGCUGGCGAAGUCUUUGGAAUUUUUCCCAUCGGAAGACUGACAAUUACACGUGAUGCGCUUGCUAUGGAGAGUAUGAAGAGAAGCCUCCAAAACAUACCUGAUGAUUGGAUUGGAGAUCCAUGUAUGCCUCAUGGAUAUGCUUGGACUGGAGUUACAUGUCAGGAAGGACAAAAUGAAAAUAUACGUGUCAUUUCAUUGAACUUUUCAGGUAUGGGUAUCUCCGGAUCUCUGUCGCCUGACAUUGCAAAUCUGACUGCUCUUAUUGAUAUAUCUUUUGCAAACAAUAGCUUGUCUGGAACUAUUCCUGAUCUCAUCAAUCUGGGACAACUCCAACGACUGCACCUGAAUGAUAACAAGUUGAAUGGAACAAUAGCUGAGACGUUGGGGACAAUUCAGCCCUUGCGUGAACUAUUCUUGCAAGACAAUGAGCUGGGUGGAGCAGUUCCACAGAACUUGCUGAACAAAACAGGGUUGACUAGCAAGUUUUGUCCGGGCAACCAGUUCACACAACCACAGUGCUGA
rnacentral:rRNA from 1 species